rnacentral:rRNA from 1 species
CCUGGUAAUUGGUGCGUCGUCGUACCACCUGAUCCAUUCCGAACUCAGAAGUGAAAGGCGACAGCGCGGACGAUAGUUGUGGGGCAACCCACCGCGAAAAUACGUCAUUGCCAGGA